rnacentral:rRNA from 1 species
GACGAACUGCCCAAACGUUGUUCGGAAUCACUGGGCUUAAAGGGCGCGUAGGCGGCAUAUCAAGUCAGGGGUGAAAUCCGGCAGCUCAACUGUCGAAGUGCCUUUGAUACUGAUGUGCUAGAGGGAGGUAGGGGUGUGUGGAACUUCCGGUGGAGCGGUGAAAUGCGUUGAUAUCGGAAGGAACGCCGGUGGCGAAAGCGACACACUGGAUCUCAUCUGACGCUGAGGCGCAAAAGCUAGGGGAGCAAACGGG